AACGAACGCUGGCGGCGUGGAUAAGACAUGCAAGUCGAACGGGAUUAUUUUUGUAGCAAUACAGAAAUAAUUCAGUGGCGAACGGGUGCGUAACACGUGGGCAAUCUGCCGAAAAGUGGGGGAUAGCUCGCCGAAAGGCGAAUUAAUACCGCAUGUGGUGAGGGACGACAUCUUCCUGAAUCCAAAGCCGGGGCAACCUGGCGUCUUUUUGAGGAGCCCGCGGCCUAUCAGCUAGUUGGUGAGGUAACGGCCCACCAAGGCUAUGACGGUAGCUGGUCUGAGAGGACGACCAGUCACACUGGAACUGAGACACGGUCCAGACACCUACGGGUGGCAGCAGUCGAGAAUUUUUCUCAAUGGGGGAAACCCUGAAGGAGCGACGCCGCGUGGAGGAUGAAGGCUUUCGGGUUGUAAAC
rnacentral:rRNA from 1 species